rnacentral:rRNA from 1 species
UACGUAGGGGGGCAAGCGUUUGUCCGGAUUUAUUGGGCGUAAAGAGCGUGUAGGCGGCUUUACAGGUCCGUUGUGAAAACUCGAGGCUCAACCUCGAGACGCCGGUGGAAACCGUAAGGCUAGAGUCCGGAAGAGGAGAGUGGAAUUCCUGGUGUAGCGGUGAAAUGCGCAGAUAUCAGGAGGAACACCCGUGGCGAAAGCGGCUCUCUGGGACGGUACUGACGCUGAGACGCG